GACUCGUCACACUAUCAUUAACUGAAUCCAUAGGUUAAUGAGGCGAACCGGGGGAACUGAAACAUCUAAGUACCCCGAGGAAAAGAAAUCAACCGAGAUUCCCCCAGUAGCGGCGAGCGAACGGGGAGGAGCCCAGAGCCUGAAUCAGCAUGUGUGUUAGUGGAAGCGUCUGGAAAGGCGCGCGAUACAGGGUGACAGCCCCGUACACAAAAGCGCAUGUGCUGUGAGCUCGAUGAGUAGGGCGGGACACGUGGUAUCCUGUCUGAAUAUGGGGGGACCAUCCUCCAAGGCUAAAUACUCCUGACUGACCGAUAGUGAACCAGUACCGUGAGGGAAAGGCGAAAAGA
rnacentral:rRNA from 3 species